rnacentral:rRNA from 1 species
UUGUUCUUUAAAUGAGGACUUGUAUCAACGGCACCACGAGGGUUAUACUGUCUCCUUUCUCUAAUCAGUGAAACUGAUCUCUCCGUGAAGAAGCGGGGAUACUCCUAUAAGACGAAAAGACCCCAUGGAGCUUCAAACCCAACUACACCCUUAACUACCACAACCGCACAACCUCUUAGGGCCCUGUAUAGUUGGUUUUAGGUUGGGGCGACCACGGAGUACAACCAAACCUCCGCAAUGGACGGGACCACUCCCUUAUCUA